CGAUAGAAGUGGCAUCCUUUUUUUGCUUUCGUAAAUGGCAAAAAAAGAUAUAACGGAUAGCGCGACC
rnacentral:sRNA from 1 species